ACAGAAAUGGCUAAUAUUACAAGGUUGGAUCAGCCGAUUUUCCUAUAGAGAAAAAUUAAUGAACAAUUUUAUGUACUAGAAUACGUAUACAACCUUCACUCCUCAAAAAACCUGCUGUUUAUUCCUGUUCUAUAUAAUUGCAAACCAGAAGAUGUCGAGACAGUAAUGUUGGUGUUUGCAGGUGCAAAAAGGACAUCACCUUCAUGGAUAAUCUCGUCUGAUGAUGAGGUUAAUGUUCCCUCUCCCUCCACGACCAUAAAAAUGGAUGGACCGGGAAUAGAUGGAAAUUCAGUAGUUGAUUGUUCGGGAAGAAUACAACGAUCAACUUCAAAUUCAUCAAAAGGAGGAAUGUACCUCAUAACAUGAGGAUUUACUGCGGUGCCCUGCAGAAUUUCAGGAAAACCCUGUCUGUAAGUGAGCAUUGAGCAUAGUGUUUUAACAUCUCGGUGUUUUGGAGUUAGGCCAGCGCGAACAACGUUGUCCGAUGUUGCCAUGCAUUCAAUACAA
rnacentral:misc_RNA from 1 species